UACGUAGGGUGCGAGCGUUAAUCGGAAUUACUGGGCGUAAAGCGUGCGCAGGCGGUGAUGUAAGACAGAUGUGAAAUCCCCGGGCUCAACCUGGGAACUGCAUUUGUGACUGCAUCGCUGGAGUGCGGAAGAGGCGAGUGGAAUUCCUGGUGUAGCGGUGAAAUGCGCAGAUAUGUGGAGGAAUACCGAUGGCGAAGGCAGCCCCCUGGGAUAACACUGACGCUCAUGCACGAAAGCGUGGGGAGCAAACAGG
rnacentral:rRNA from 1 species